UACGAAGGGGGCUAGCGUUGCUCGGAAUCACUGGGCGUAAAGCGCACGUAGGCGGAUCUUUAAGUCAGGGGUGAAAUCCCAAGGCUCAACCUUGGAACUGCCUUUGAUACUGGGGAUCUCGAGUCCGGAAGAGGUUGGUGGAACUGCGAGUGUAGAGGUGAAAUUCGUAGAUAUCAAGCGGAACACCGGUGGCGAAGGCGGCCUUCUGGACAGUGACUGACGCUGAGACGCGAAAGCGUGGGGAGCAAACAGG
rnacentral:rRNA from 1 species